rnacentral:rRNA from 1 species
GAUUCUUUGAGGAAAUUAAGAACCCGAUCUGCCCAAUGGUACGCUAAAUGGCCGCGGUAUUUUGACUGUGCAAAGGUAGCAUAAUAAUUUGUCCUAUAAUUGAGGACUGGAAUGAAUGAUUUAAUGGGGCCUUACUGUCUCUAAAUAAUUAAUUUGAAAUUAUUUUUUAAGUGAAGAAUCUUAGAUUAUAUUAAGUGACAAGAAGACCCUAUCAAGCUUAAAAAUCACCUUAUUAUAUAGUUAAUGAUUUUUUGAUUGGGGCAAUCUGAGAACAGAGUAAGUUUCUCAUUGAUCCAGCCUGGCUGAUUAAAAGAAAAGCUACUGUAGGGAUAACAGCAUUAUUUCUUUGGAGAGCCCUUAUCGAAAAAGAAGUUUGUGACCUCGAUGUUGGAUUAAGAUUUCCGUAAGGCGCAGUAG